GCCUAUUAAACAGUGGUUGAUAAACAAACUCAGGAAAUGAACUGUUAUGGACAGCAGUUUAAUUCUCCGUGCAAUAACUCCACACUGCUCAAUUAAUUUGAAAAUUAGUUUCCCGAAUCCACCCUCUUAGAGAUUUGUCACAGAACGUUUAAGCCUGAGGGGGACCGGGAGCUUUGUUAAUGUCCUCAUUUGCAGACACGGAAAUGAAGUUCAGAGGAGGUAGAUGAGCCUCACUGGACACCCUGCUCGUUAAUGGAAGUGCUUUAGCCUCUCACGCCUGCAACUGGACUCUUCCUUCCACCAUGAUGUCUUUCAGAAGGGUCCUCUCCUCCCUGCUAUAUCUUCAGGAGCCACUCCCAUCUUCCAGAGGAGCCCUGCCCUGUGCACACUUGAGCUGUGGCUUCUUCCUUCCAGUAGAGCCCAUCUGUCCUGGCCUUUGAAGGAGUUAAUCAAGCCAUAUGUCAAACAUUUUCCAUUCUCCCCUCUCCAGGCCACUGACAGGACUGCACGUCCUGGGGCCACGGGUUAGAACUGUGACACUGACUCCAACCUGGAAGCUGGGACCUUGCUACUCACUGAGAAGGCACCUGCACACUGCCUGCCACCUGCCUGGAUUUCUGGGUAUUCUCUCCAGCGUGCCUGUUGCUGGGCUGUGCUGUGCCACCAGAAGACUACGCCACGCCUCCACUGUGAACCCCAACCCCUUGCCAACUCUGUGUCUGGAUUUUGACUGAAGAAUUUGAUAACAGAUGAUAUGACUGAACUCUUACAGUCAAGCCGGGUGCACUGGCUCACACCUGUAAUUCAGCACUUUGGGAGGCUGAGGUGGGCAAAUCACUUGAGGCCAGGAGUUUGAGACCAGACUGGCCAACAUGGCAAAACCUUGUCUCCACUAAAAAUACAAAAAUUAGCUGGGUGUGGUGGUGCACCCCUGUAAUCCCAGCUACUAGGGAGGCUGAGGCAUGAGAAUCACUUGAGCCUGGGAAGCAGAGGUUGCAGUGAGCUGAGAUUGCACCACUGCACUCCAGCCUGGGUGACAGAGCAAGACUCUGUCUCCAAAAAAAAAAAAAAAAAAAAAAACAGAAAUUGUAAAAACUAUGCCAAGUUAAUGAAUCCUAAUGACCAAAGCUUGGCUCUAUUUCACCCAGUAGCUGGGGGAGCCAGGUCCCAAGUUCACCCUUAGACCCCCCAUUCAGCUGUAAGCAACCUGCCAUACUCUGCCAGUUCUUGAGAUAGUCAACUCUAUUUUGAGCCAAGCACAAGCUACAUGAAGGUAGCCAACAGUGUGUGCCUCACUGAGUAAAUACCAGGAUGGGCAGAGACCAAUGGUGAGUCACCCUGAAUGACCCUCCAACUGGAAACCUUGGCUAUAUUUCCCAAUCCCUGGAAGAUCAACUUCCUUACAACACAUAACAGCAAGUAAGCAAGAGAGAACAUCAAACUGGCUUGGGAACUGGAGGUGUUAAGAAUCUGAGAUAGAAUGGUGGCCCAGUAGAGAUUAGUGUAAAGGUGGGCAUGUCUCUGAGCAAACAAUAGAUCCAGAGUCAUCAGAAUUAGAUUAAAAUGUCGGCAAGAGCCUCCUGAAGGGCCAUGGGGAGAGAACCCGUAACUACAGCUACCUAUGAACAAGAGGCAUGGAAAAGAAAAUGGACUCAACUUAUAAAUGAAAAACCCAGGCCCCUGGACAAUUCUGAAACUUAAGGUGGAAAAUGGUUAGGUCGGAGUAAACCAGGUUGGGCUGUUAGGGCAGUGACCUCCUUCAGAGUUUAAGGCUGUCACCUCAAGUUCAUUGCUUGGUAACAGCAAGAUUACCAGUGAUAACC
rnacentral:lncRNA from 1 species